rfam:Candidatus Pacebacteria bacterium CG1_02_43_31 cg1_0.2_scaffold_550_c, whole genome shotgun sequence.
GCGCCAAUAGCUCAGUGGAUAGAGCAACUGCCUUCUAAGCAGUAGGUCCCUGGUUCGAGUCCAGGUUGGCGCA